UACGUAGGUGGCAAGCGUUGUCCGGAUUUACUGGGUGUAAAGGGUGCGUAGGCGGGACGGUAAGGUGGAUGUGAAAUACCCGCGCUCAACGUGGGGGCUGCAUUCAAAACUAUCGUUCUUGAGUGAAGUAGAGGCAGGCGGAAUUCCCGGUGUAGCGGUGAAAUGCGUAGAGAUCGGGAGGAACACCAGUGGCGAAGGCGGCCUGCUGGGCUUUUACUGACGCUGAGGCACGAAAGCAUGGGUAGCAAACAGG
rnacentral:rRNA from 1 species